UCUUUUAAUCCUUGAGUGCUUAAUGUUAUACUGGAGACUCUCAAAACCAAUUUUUAGAAGAAGUUAUUCUACCUUAAAAAUGUAUAAAGUUAUACUGGGGACUUUCUAAACCAAUUUUUAUAAACUUAGAGACUAAAAAGGUGCAUGACCAAAUGGGUCUAUUUUUCUAAACCUGGAGACUAAAAAUGUACAUUUUUAAAACUCAAGAACCAAACACACGUGUUCUUCAAAACCAAAACUUGGGGAGUAAUUUUCCUAAAAAAUUUAAGAUAGUGCCAAAUGUCAUUUAGCAUGUGAAAUAAUUACGAUUUUCAUUUUUCAUUUGAGGAAUAUGCCUUCAAAUUUUUUUUACAUUUUAUUUUUGAACACUAACAAACAUGCAUCAACUUUUGACUUCCAUAAUCCCAAAUAUUUUUUAUGUAUAUUUUGAGAUCAUAUUUGAAAUUCUCCUACUAGAGAGCUGAAAUUGUUGAAUGGAUAAAUCAAGGGGGAGGCGAGGUUGUUGAAGAUCACAUGAAGCAGAAAGUGCACUUCACUGUUGAAUGUCAUGGUGGGAUACCAAGGAGUACAGACGUUCAUAGUACUUAUGUGUCAAGUCAUCGGGUUCGAUCAUGUUUAGAGCUGAAUGGAUAUAUGAGUGUGUCAGCCAGAGAAAGAUUGUCUCUCUUGAUUUGUAUCGCCCAAAAGAAGUUAAAGCUCAAGACAGAGCGACAGGCUUAUGCACUGUCAGCCAAUUUCCUACUCAAGCUGCCCCAAUGAUAGCCAAUGAAAGCAUAUCCCAGUUUCCUAUCCAUUCUGCCAUUCCGAGAGACCAAUCAGCUGGAACUAACAGUAGCUUUAUAGGAGCAGCUGAACGAAUAAGUUCUACGAAGAAAAGCGCAAGUUCUUUGACGAAGCCAUAGAAAAGCAUUCACUUUUGUUGGAAACAGAUCCACUCAAUCUGACUGCAUUUUGAAUUCCACAAAACAAACUACAUCAAAUUCUUCUGUAGUAACUUCACACGUUCCUGAUGUCGCUUCCGCAAUUGAGGACUUGUUGGAGCAGACAACUAAGAUUCAAGAUCAGAAGUCACCUGGAAAGACUGGCUGCGAUAAAAAUUUUCCUACCAGACUGUUCGCUUGUUGGUCAAGACCAUUCAGAAACUUCUCCAAUUGGUGCUUUAUCUAACCAGUGGUCAAAAAGAGCUGAAAGAAAAGAAGAUGUCGGCAAUUCUACUACUGAAGAUGGGACUGUGGGCAUAUGUGAUGGCUUUAGUGAAACACAAACAGAGUCUCAGAAUGCCAUAACUCACAGGUUGAUGACGGUGAAUGGGAGCUGUAUCCACAAGUAACUGGCUCUAUGCAUUGGAAAUGCUAAAUACUUUGGCGGUGGUAUGAAAAUUGUGCCAAAUGCCGAUCCUUCCAACAGGAGUCUAGAGGUAGUAAUUCUUCAGGAUUUCAAGUGGUAUGACUUUAUUCUGAAUUUACACAAAAUAUACAAUGGGACAUAUUUGACGGUGAAAAACGUAACAUCAAGAAGGCUACAUUAAGAUAUAUCAAGGUUGGAGACCAAAGUUGAGAGGCUAAAGUCCUUUUACAUGCUACAUUAAGAUAUAUCAAGGUUGGAGACCAAAGUUGAGAGGCUAAAGUCGGUAGUACAAGUUAAAGAUAUGGAGAUUGCAACAGUUACACGAAUAGAAGCCAAAGGUAAGGUUGCUUUUAAAGCUCAAAUUGACAAGCUACAGUAGGAAAAUGUUGAACUCCAGAGAAGGGUUAUUGGCAAUCAGCAAGUAGGAACUCAACAAAUACCUGAGGUGAAGAAGAAAGAAAAGGAGUACAUCAAAUUAAAGAGGGGUGACGACAUGGAACUUGGAAUGGCAAGAAAACUGAUAACGAUUUCUAUAAAAGGAUAGUGGAUGCUUAUGAAGUUAAAAAUCAAGAAUUGACGUCAGAGAAUGCUUAUUUAAAGACAUUGACCAGUAAAUGCAGAUGGCUGAGGGCCUUCGUGAAACGUGGGAGAGAAGCGAUAAGAAUAUGUAUGUCUUAAUGGUCAUAGAAAUUUAUUAUGCUUGGUUUUUGCUUGAAAAGUUUUCUAUUAUUUACUUUAUUGAACACACACGAGCACCCGUACAUCUGGAUUUGUAAGAAUAUGUAUCGUUAUAAGGUUUCCAUCCAUCUUUCUUAUGC